rnacentral:rRNA from 1 species
CACCACCGGCGGACGGCUCAGUAACACGUCGGUAACCUACCCUCGGGAGGGGGAUAACCCCGGGAAACUGGGGCUAAUCCCCCAUAGGCCUGAGGUACUGGAAGGUCCUCAGGCCGAAAGGGGCUUUUGCCCGCCCGAGGAUGGGCCGGCGGCCGAUUAGGUAGUUGGUGGGGUAACGGCCCACCAAGCCGAAGAUCGGUACGGGCUGUGAGAGCAGGAGCCCGGAGAUGGACACUGAGACACGGGUCCAGGCCCUACGGGGCGCAGCAGGCGCGAAACCUCCGCAAUGCGGGAAACCGCGACGGGGGGACCCCGAGUGCCGUGGCACCGCCACGGCUUUUCCGGAGUGUAAAAAGCUCCGGGAAUAAGGGCUGGGCAAGGCCGGUGGCAGCCGCCGCGGUAAUACCGGCGGCCCGAGUGGUGGCCGCUAUUAUUGGGCCUAAAGCGUCCGUAGCCGGGCCCGUAAGUCCCUGGCGAAAUCCCACGGCUCAACCGUGGGGCUUGCUGGGGAUACUGCGGGCCUUGGGACCGGGAGAGGCGGGGGGUACCCCUGGGGUAGGGGUGAAAUCCUAUAAUCCCAGGGGGACCGCCAGUGGCGAAAGCGCCCCGCUGGAACGGGUCCGACGGUGAGGGACGAACGCCAGGGGAGCAAACCGGAUUAGAUACCCGGGUAGUCCUGGCUGUAAAGGAUGCGGGCUAGGUGUCGGGUGAGCUUCGAGCUCGCCCGGUGCCGUAGGGAAGCCGUUAAGCCC